AGCGUAACGCUGUUGGAGAUGAGAGGGCACAGCACAAUUUUGAGAGCCAAACAAAGGCGGGGCACAGAGCUGUUGCCUCGAGAUGUGUGGCCUCAGAAGGUCUUGUCGAGGCGAGUGAUGAAAGGGAGGAGGUUCCCGAGGAUACUGGAGCCGGAAGACGCGGCGAGGGUCCGGGUUAGCAAACCGGGCAGAGUCAGAGGCCCAGGACGCCGGGCCCUGGGGGCGCUGUCGCAGGGCGGCGGCGGAGGCCGGGGUGGUGGGCGCCCCGGGGUGGGGGGAGGCGGGAGUGCUCUCCCAGGUGGGCUUGGAGGGGCCCCGGCCCAGACACCCAGGGCCAGCCGGCGCACCCGCAUGAUGUUCUGAAAGCGUCCCCGCAGCCUGGUCGGUGGCUGGGGGAAGCUGGGCGUGGUUAGCCUGGCAGCCUGGCUUUGCGGACUCACCUCCGGGCCUCGUCCUCCAGUGCCUUCCCUCCCCAACUGAGGGGCUUGGCUGCACCCGCACGCGGUUUUCCAGGAACAGCGAUCCCGGAGUGGACUCUCCCGCAUCCAGGGGGACGUCAGCACUCUCGGCUUCCCCAUGGGGACACACUCACUGAGGUCACGCGACCCAAAACCAAAUGACCCACCACCACGACAGCCGCAUCGUUUUUAGUGGUUUGUCCGGGAGGUUUUAGAGUGAGAGAAUGAAGGGGGUGAGGCCUGAGGGAGGGAGGCGCAUGGAAGCCGCCGCAUCUGACUGUCCCAGGGUGUGCCCAGGCCCAGAGAUGAUGUCCAGACCCCUGAAGGGAGUGAAGCGGAGGCCCUGCUGGAGGCAAAGGUCAGCGCGGCCUGAUUAGCCUCCCACGGUGACUUGGGAGGUGACUCGGGAAUCCGGGCCCUCUUCUACCUGUGGCGCCGUCCAGCCCUGGUCCCCCAGGCUGUGGCUGCAGCCAGUGCGUGUAAAUGGAAGAACCCCGUGAUGAUUUUUCCUUGGGGGAGAUAAACCCAUGGAUGGGGUCUGGAGCCACAGGGACGGUGAGUAGCAUGCAGGAUCUAAAGCUGCAGAGCAGAGAGGUGAAGACAGUCUCCCUCCUCCGUGGUCCCUGGAUCUGGAGAAGCAUGAAAUGUGCCCGGAGUCUCUGGUGCCCAUGAGGCGUUGUUGGGGCAGGAGGUAGAAAGGUGGCAUCAGUGGAUGGGUGGCGUCCCAUGUCCUGUAGCCGUCACAGGGGCCAGUAUCCAAAUGGAACCCACAAGUAACCCAACAUUCCCAACAACUGAGGGUAUUAGCAUUGUGUUUAAACGUUUUGGGCCUGAAUCAGACAGUGCAGGGUUCCAACGCCCACUUGGAUUCAAGGAGAUUCAAAACCCGUGUCACUGCUGCCAUCUUCCUAGAAUCCCUUUAAAUCCUCAUGGAUUUGCUGACAUUGGGAGCAUCCUGAAAGAGUCCCCAUGCUAGGGUGGCUGCAGUAACAGGUUCUCCCCACUCCAGAAAAAAUCAAAUCAGAUUGUGAAUUUAUUCCCUGACAUUAACACACGGCAUUACAGGAGCAUGUACAUCACAUGGUCAAUUUAUUGGCAUGAGGAUUAUGUCAUCGGGGAAUAAAUGGGAAAUUCUCAAGGUGGCCCAGGCCUGUAGGCUUCCAGUGAGAAAACUGGAGACCACACUCACCCGUCCCACUGCCGUUUCUUUGGGGCUGCCUGUGAUACUGGGUUAUUCCCCUUGCCGAGUUCCACUGUGCUUACCCUGUUGGAAUAUGAUGGUGGACUUGCCAGAGGAGAUGACCAUGAUUUUCAGGAACAGCAGCCCCUCCUUCCUGGUUGAGGCAGCCAGCAGGCACUCCUAUCCAUGAGCCACAGCUCAGCUAAGGCAAUCCAGUCCAGCUGCAUGCCCUCUCUCUGCUUCUGGGGAGGUAGGAAGGACCAGGGGCAUUCAUGCUUGUUUCUAGGGGGCCCUAACUGGAUCUCUGGAUCAAGACCUACUCAGGGGAGAAAGACUACUCUGGGUUCCAUGUUAGGACUGACGGGUGCAUCUUAACUGAGAUGCAGACAGUGGACAAUUCGAACUCUGACCUGAGAGCAAGCCCCAGCCUUGGUGCUCAUAAAUGCUCCGCUUGGUCCUUCACAUUUGUGUUCCACACAGGAGAAGCCAAGUUGUGAGCAGUGCACCUUCACAAGCAAAGCCUCGACUGAAAUCUUCUCUAACAAUUGGCUGGUCACUCCUGAGCGUAAUCUACCCCUUCAGAACACUGGGGAUGAAUUUAGAGACAUCGAAGCCUCCUGAUGAGAAAUACGUGUCCACUCACCGGGAGAACUGAAAUACCAGGAGAUUUCUACACAAAUCUCACAGAGUCCUUCUGGCGUCCUAGGGGUUUGCUCACAUAUAAGGGACUUUCUGGUAGGAAGAGAGUCUCUUUACAUUCUUUAUUAUAUGAUCCUGGUGGCUUUGUAGAGAGAUGGUACAGCUGACAGAUCAUGUCCUGUGGGGCCAGGGAGUUGUGUGUGUGUGAAUGCUCUGUGAACUUGGGCAAACUACUUAGCCUCUCUGAGCCUUAGCUGCAUCAGCUUUGAAAAACAGGAUGAUAAAAUGGAGUCACCUUAUUUGACUUUUAUAAAUACACUUACACAAUUACACAAGUUGUGGGGAUGGGAAGAGAGAGUUGGGGAAAGAGAAAUGAGAGAGAGAGAGAGAGAGAAUGAAUGAUAAACAAUUUAAACAACAGUGGGGUGUAGACCAACGCCCAGCCUGGCAAGGGUGAGCCCAGAGAGCCUUCCCUCCUGGCUAUUGGCAGCCUCCGCAUGGAAGCCUGUCGUUGACUUCUUAAUGAUGAGAGAUGUUCUGGGGGCACUCCAGGAUUCUUGGACAUGGGAUCGUCUUCACAGCUGUGUCUAUUGAAAGCUGAAGUUUCAGUCUCCCCUGCCCCCUGCCCCCUGGAGUGGCUUCCCAGGGGAAAUUCAAGGGCACCUGUGACUGCAUGGCUGCUUUCCUUUCCUUUACUCAAUGCCGUCCUUUGGUGACAGCCGUGUCUCAUGCCAGGAUACAUGAGGUGCUCUAUAGUAGUAUGUUUUCCCUCCUGGGAGGUAAUUUUAUUUAAAUGUGAAGUCAAAAGGAUCACUAAAUAGAACCAUGAGGCAACCACUCUGGGCACCUGCCUGGUGAUAUCCACAAGAGCUGACCACAGGUGCCCCCUGUGCCCAGCAAGUCCUUGGCUGGGCAGUCACACAACAGGCAUGGGGAUGUGUGGCCACCAAGCCCUCCAGGGCAGUGCUAUUUGUAAUAGUCCCAAAUGGGAGAGAUGGCAAACGCCCGCCAAUGGGGCAGCAUGGAUAAAUGGAUGCUGCACAGCAACGGCGAUGAGUGAGCCCCAGCACCCGUGAGCUCACCAGUGUAAUAUUGGGUGGAAGAAGCCAGGAGGAAGGGCAUUCACAUUCUGUGAUUCCAGCUACACUAUGUUUAAAUAUGGGCAGAGCUAGGCUGUGGUGCUGGAAGCCAGGACAGUGGGAUCCUUGCAUGGGGGUGAUGGUGCUGGUAGGUUCUGGUAAUUUCCUCUUCUUGAUCUGGGUGUAAACAUUUUGUGAAAAUUCAAUGAGCUGUACAUUUAUGACUGGUACAUUUAUGACUUUGUAUGAAUAUUAUACUUUCAUAAAACUACUUUAAAAUAUGAUUGUGAACCUUUUUUCACCUAUUUUCUGCCAAUUAGCACCGAAUUGCUCACUAACUAAUGAGUGGUGCUGGUUUUGACUUGCUUGCUACACUGUCUUGAGACAGAUAGGGUUUUCUGUGCUUUGUAUGACCCCCUCUGGAACCAGGGUGGGACUGGGAACACUCGGAAAACAUGUGCUGACAGAUGCUGGGCAUCCCCGUGUUGGUGGAGGCAUGCUCAUUCCUCAGCAAAAUACCCAUAUGGGGUGUUGGCAGGAAAGAGGACAGAAAAGGACAAAGUAUUUGUCUCUGCUAGCGUUCCUGGAGCUGUCUCACCUUGGCCAAGCCCCCGCCCAGUCCUCUCCUAACGUGGACAGACUAGGGGGCAGAAACUAGUCAGCCAAAGAAUUUCCAAGCUAGGGGUUGAUGAAUGCUUGGAUAAUUUGCCCAUGAACACGUUGGAUUCUUCUUCACUUGCCAUCACGGGGGGAUAAGUACCCCAGUUUUUUUUUGGAGAGAAUUGAGGGACUGUGCCAUUGCAGUGUGGAUUUCAAGAGAUUUUAAACGGAAGGCAGAGUAACAGUGUGGUUUGGGAAGCUCUAAAGACAGUUGUCCUGGUGCGGUUUCUUCCAUAAAAGAGUGGGGACGCCAUGGACCUGCUCACCAAAUUCCAGUCCCGACACAGUUCUGUGAGGCACUCUCCACAUCAGGGCAGACGGGCAGGAGGAGUUUACACAGCGAUCUGGGGGCCAUUAGAGCACUGAGGGAUCCAUUGCUGUCUCUUGUUUCUGUUUCCCACACUGUGCUGGGUGCUGGGAACAUGACGAUGAACUUGAAGGAAAUAAUGUGUACGGUGGUUCAUUUCCAAGACAUAGUGCCUUGAAUCAGUUUAGGUCAGCAAACUACAGAAGAAACAGGAUAUACUAGGCCCCUGCUUGGAGAGCUGAUGCCUGUUUGUUGCCCCUCACCCCCUUAGUUGCCCUUACCAGAACCAAAGGAGUUUAGUCUAAGAUGAAAGUUUACUAGCCUGCAAAAUAGCUCACUUUGUCUGUUCUUAUCAGCCUGCCCAGCUACUUAGGUCAUAAGUGAAAUACUUGAAGAGCCCCUGAGCUAACUAGGAUUGCAAUGCAUUGUGGCUGCAACAAGAUGCAGCAAGACAACUGUAAAGAAAAUGCCUAAAACCCCUACCCACCAACCCAUAGGCGAUGUCCAGGAAGACUGUGACCUCCAUAGUACUCAGCAUUUGAGGAACUGGGGGAGGGACCUGUGCACUAGGGGAUAAAUUGCUUGUUGAAACUGUGCUGGGUGUGCCUGUCCAUCAGAUACCCUAUCUUGCAAGACUGUCG
rnacentral:lncRNA from 10 species